GAUGAAGAACGUAGCGAAAUGCGAUAAGUAAUGCGAAUUGCAGAAUUUCCGUGAGUCAUCGAAUCUUUGAACGCACAUUGCGCCCCUUGGUAUUCCAUGGGGCAUGCCUGUUCGAGCGUCAUUUGUACCCUCAAGCUAUGCUUGGUGUUGGGUGUUUGUCCUCUCCUUUGCGAUUGGACUCGCCUUAAAGACAUUGGCAGCCAGUGUAUUGGUCUUGAAGCGCAGCACAUUUUGCGAUUCUUGCUGAUAAUCACUAGCGUCCAGUAAGCCUAUUUUAACACUUUUGACCUCGGAUCAGGUAGGGAUACCCGCUGAACUUAAGCAUAUCAAUAAGCGGAGGA
rnacentral:misc_RNA from 1 species